rnacentral:rRNA from 1 species
CGAGGUGAGUAAUGUCUGGGAAACUGCCUGAUGGAGGGGGAUAACUACUGGAAACGGUAGCUAAUACCGCAUAACGUCGCAAGACCAAAGAGGGGGACCUUCGGGCCUCUUGCCAUCGGAUGUGCCCAGAUGGGAUUAGCUAGUAGGUGGGGUAAAGGCUCACCUAGGCGACGAUCCCUAGCUGGUCUGAGAGGAUGACCAGCCACACUGGAACUGAGACACGGUCCAG